UUUACCCUGGAGUGUUUGUCAGAGGAUGUACGUCCCUGAGCCGAUAAGCAACACAUAAGGGUUGGUACUUGGUCACUAUUGAGCAGGCUCGGCUUGUACCGAGAAGCCUACGGUAGCCAUUGCUAAUCCGCCUUGAACCAGCUGGUUCAAGGGCCACAGUCCUCAACGGCACUCUGGGGUUCCU
rfam:Vibrio metschnikovii CIP 69.14 VIB.Contig141, whole genome shotgun sequence.